AUAUAUAUUGGUGAAAUUUUAUAGAAAUACCGUUCAAAUGGCACAGAUUACGAUUAUAAAGAAAUUUCUCGGGAAAAUGUUUUCCGAAUGGGUGGGGAGAGUAUUU